rnacentral:tRNA from 1 species
UCAGGUAGCUCAGUUGGUAGAGCAACGGACUGAAAAUCCGUGUGUCGGCGGUUCAAGCCCGCCUCUG